GUGGGUUUGGGCAGUGCGUCUGGGGUGGUGGUGUUGGGCCUUAAUGCUGUGUGCGUGGGCAGCAUGCUGUCUGUGUCAGGGUAGGAGAACGCCAGCCUCCUUUGAAUUGAUGAGCAGGGGCCUAAAUGUAGCAGGCGUUUGUGGGCACCUUCAUGAGUACACCGUGUUAGGUGUGUGUGCGUGGGGGGCGGUGUUUGUACACCUCCACCCUGCAUGUGGGACAGGCAGGCCUCCCUCCUGAGCCAGUCUGCAAUCCUGGUGAACCCAGUGAACAAAUCUCAAACACCAGAACAAUAAAUAACGAAUAAUAAAAACAGUAACUAACCCUCCUUCUCUAGCAAGAUAACAAUAAAAUACCAAAGGAGAUAUUUUUUGAGGGAGGAGGGUUGGGAGGAAGGAUUAACAUCACAAACUCCAAGGGGGAGACCUGGGAAGCAGGAAGUUGGCUUCUUUAAAUGCUGUUGGGGGACUGGGAUUGGGACCCUCUCCCCAGACACAGUCCUCUGGCCAGAGCCAGAAGGCCACUCUUUCUUGAUCUUUUUCUCUAGUUUGCUUUGUAUAAGCAGAAAGGGGAUUUCCCCCCCCCCCCAACACACACAUGUGGGUGGUUUGUAGCUUUGGGGACACUGAGAGCCCCUGUUAAAGAGGAGCAGGCCCAAUGUGCAGGGAUAACCAGGGGCCGAGAUGGAUGAGGCGUCGGUCACGCGGCCGGGCCAGGGCUCGGAGAUGCCCUGGAAGAGGAGCGCGGACCGCCAGGAGCGAAGCAGAAAAAUAUUUAUGGCUGCCGGGGAAUGAGGACCGCGGCUGGCCGGCGAGUGAGGCCGGAGCUCCCGCAGGUCCAGGGAAAGUUCCCUUCUUAUUUUCAAAGCAGAAGGGAAGGCUGAAGCGCCUUGAAUUUUCCUUCGAGAGUCUGGAGCUAAGCAGUUUCCGUAAGGGAAGAGAAGAACCGAUCCGGAGUUCUGCUAUGCCUACCUCAUUCUCUCCAGAGAUGAGGACUGACCUCAGGGCCUUGUGCAUGUUAGAACAGUGCUCUACCACUGAGCGGCAUCGCCACCCCCUAUCGUCCAUUUGUAAUGGAUCACACGCGUGAAAGGAAGAAGGUAGAAGCUGUGAUUUUAAAAGUGGAAAUAAACAAGGAAACUUCAUCCUUUUCUCCUCA